GUGACCCUGGAUGAGACUGGAAGUGAUCAUGAGAUGGAGGAAGUGCAGCCCAAGAAGUCUCCAGAACCAGCCCAGAACACAGGUGAGGACUUUGUGGUUUCUGAGGCAGGGUUCUUCUGUAAGCUGUGUUCUCUGUUCUAUGGGAGUGAAGACAAGAAGACCCACUGCAGCAGUCUACAGCACUGUCAGAACAUGCAGAAACAUUACCAGAAGCAACAAGCAGGUGGUUCUAGCCAAGGCUCCGCCUCCAAGUGACCCCUGACCACACCCCUGGGUGUGUCUAAAAAUGUGACCAUUUCCCCAGUGCUCUGGUUGAUAGAUAGGGCUCUACUAUAAUAGGGUGAUAGAGUGCAGUUUGAUAUUUCAGCUGGUCUAGGAUCAGGUCCCCCAUGUUCAUAUUGUCUUAUUCAUUAGGAUUUAAAAGGUGAAACUGGUCCUGGAUCAGCCCUAUACUCUGAGACGCUUUGUGAAUACGUGGAUAUCUGGUCCAAUAUGACACAGAUUUCAGAUUAAUUUGUUUUGUUAGCUUUUUUUGGGGGGGGGGUGGAUUUAAAUAUCAUUAAACUGUUUAAUUUAUCCAGAGUAACUCAGUCAGCAGAGACAUAAUGUAUGUACACCACGGAGAAAGUAAUAAAUGUCAUUUUUAUUAUGAA